AUUGAACGCUGGCGGCAUGCUUUACACAUGCAGGUCGAACGGUAACAGGCCGCAAGGUGCUGACGAGUGGCGAACGGGUGAGUAAUGCAUCGGAACGUGCCCAGUCGUGGGGGAUAACUGCUCGAAAGCUGCGCUAAUACCGCAUUCGACCUAUGGAUGAAAGCGGGGGACCGGACGGCCUCGCGCGAUUGGAGCGGCCGAUGUCAGGUUAGGUAGUUGGUGGGGUAAAGGCUCACCAAGCCAACGAUCUGUAGCUGGUCUGGGAGGACGACCAGCCACACUGGGACUGAGACACGGCCCAGACUCCUACGGGAGGCAGCAGUGGGGAAUUUUGGACAAUGGGCGCAAGCCUGAUCCAGCAAUGCCGCGUGCAGGAAGAAGGCCUUCGGGUUGUAAACUGCUUUUGUACGGAACGAAACGGUCCUGGUUAAUACCUGGGGCUAAUGACGGUACCGUAAGAAUAAGCACCGGCUAACUACGUGCCAGCCGCCGCCGUAACAC
rnacentral:rRNA from 1 species